GUAGGGCCUCAGGUUAUGAUUAGGUUAUGUUAUGUGUGUGUUUUGUGUAUUGAUGUUAUGUUUAGAUUAUGUUCUUUAUCCACAGGAGCCGUUGGAACACCGACAGACAGAGUGAUAACUAGAAACAGGGACAGGAGAGACACAUACUUUGACAUAAUUACAGGUAAAUCGGAUCGCGAGGACAGCUACAAACCACAUGUGCUGCCUGUUGAGCUACCGAUUAAACUUGGUGGCCACGAUAGUUCCAAUCUUCCUAUUCUCGUGCUGCCAGUACCAUUUCCAGUAUACACAAAGAAAUCAGAUUCAAUCGAUGCUCGGCUCAGCGGACCAGUUUCAGACAAAAAUGCUAAUUUUCCUGUCACCCCGCCAUAUAUAGCACUUCGCUCUUUCGAAGAUGUCCCUCGAACUAGAUCUCGCGAUAGAUACAUAGCGGUAGACCGAGAAAAAGAACCUGCAGAUGAGGAUUUCGAUGGUUCACCUAUUGUAGUGUUAGAAGAAGAAUCAAGCAAUCCUUCUGGAACAGUUGUCGGGGAAUCACGCCGCCGUGUAAAGUAUGUAGUAAAAAAAGUUAUUUCAAACAAACGUGAUCGUGCAAAUUAUGUUAAUGAAGAUGAUAUUUCCGACAUUCCUCGAAAGCGUAUAACGUAUGUUACUGAAGAUGUUGUCCCCGACACUCAGCGACAGCGUGUAAAAUAUGUUACUGACGAUGAUGUUUCUUAUACUCCUAGGCGUAUAAAGUAUGUCACUGAUACGAUUACCAACAGUCCUCCACGACAGCGUGUAAAAUAUAUUACUACUGACGAUGUGAUUCCUGACAUCGCCCCGACACGGCAGCGUGUGAAGUAUGUCAUUGAAGAUAGUGACGAUGUUAAUUCCAAAACUCCUCCACAGCAGCGUGUAAGAUAUGUUACUGAAGUGAAUUCAAAUACACCUCGGUCAAGGCGGCCUGUCAAAUACAGACCCAAGGAAACGGAGAUAUUAUUAUCUCCUGAAUUUGAAAUUCGAUCUAACUUCGAUGAGCAGUCUUAUGUGCCUGACGAUCAAUUAGAAGAGGAAUUAAAUGUUGGAGACAAGUUUGAAGCUUCAUCUGAGCCCAAGGAAGUUUAUAUACCUUUCUCAUAUGGGCGUGGUCAAAUAUAUAAAACUUCUGCAGACCUAAUCCGGAGCUACCUCCGCGAAGUCCCACUCGCACCAAAACUCCCCGCAGUAAUGCCUCGAGGCCGCCGGUUCCCCGCUCGAAUCCCUGACUUAGGCCUCGACGCCGCCGGGGAGGUCAGCAUACCCGGCCCGUCGCCGCCGAGGCCGGACUUUAGCCACUCCAUGCGUCUACGCAUUGAUCUGACGGUGCCGCGCUCCGACUACACUACAGUUUAUGAUUUAGAAUGGCACGCCGGUUCAAACACGGCGCGUACUGUGGUAGAGGAUGGCGCUACCAUCUUCUACCGUGUUCCGUUGCUCGACGGGCGAAUGCAAUACCUUAAGUAUGAAGACGACCGUAUGAAUGGAACCCAGGUGCAACGCUGCAUUCUGUCUCCCCUGCUGCGUUCGACUGCUGAAGAUAAGACCUUCCCUGGCCUCCCUGAUUUGACGCGGUUCCACUUUGUAGGCUACACGGAAGCGGAAGGACAUUCCCUGGUGGAGCGCUGGCGGCACUGGGUGAUCGGCAGGCCGGGGGAGCUGGGUGCGGCGCAAGGAGAGGCCCUCAACUACACCCAUGAGUUCCUCCUCUACAGGGAUCGAGGGGAAGUUGUGCCUCUCAAGUUAGCCCUUACGUCUUUAUUAGUCAUUACUCAUUAUAUCAGAAAGGAAGAGGAGAACUGGGCGCGAUGCGGGGGGAGGCCUUCAACUACACCCAUGAGUUCCUCCUCUACAGGGAUCGAGGGGAAGUUGUGCCUCUCAAGUUAGCCCUUACGUCUUUAUUAUUCAUUACUCAUUAUAUCAGGAAGGAAGAGGAGAACUGGGCGCGAUGCGGGGGGAGGCCUUCAACUACACCCAUGAGUUCCUCCUCUACAGGGAUCGAGGGGAAGUUGUGCCUCUCAAGUUAGUCCUUACGUCUUUAUUAGUCAUUAUUGAACAGGCAGGGAGAGGAGACCUGGGCGCGGCAGGGGGGGAAGGCUCAUGGAAGGAGGUGGAGACCUUUUAUGAAAUGGUCAUACUACAGAAGGAAGCAGCGGAGCGACUACGCGAGGAAGAUGAAGUCGCGCAUCCGCUAAGGUAGGGGAAGAAGAAGAGGGCAGUAUGCAGCUGCUGCGCGCCACCUUUCCCAGUAGGGCCAGUGGGUAGAGGACCGACACUGCACGAUCCUAUACGGCUAGGGGAAGAGUCAAGGCGUUUCUGACCUCCUCCUUAGAUGCAGGUGGGUUUAGUGGGUAGGCUCCUCCCCCUCUUUCUCAAUGGAGAAUGGAGGUGUGAGUCCCACAUACCCCCAAAAUGGGCCCACUUCAGGCCAGGGGGACGAUGCGUAACAGCAUUCCCACAGCGAUAAAAAAAGGCCCUCAACUACAGCCAUGAGCUCCUCCUCUACAGUGCCUUUCAAGUUAGUCCUUACGUAUUUAAAAUUAAAAUAUUUUUUUGCGAAUUGGCCCAAAUUCAUAAAACGUUUUUUGCUCCUUAUGAUCUCAGGAAUGCGUGGUUAAAAUCUAUUGGGUUACUCGAGCCCACGGUAUACAACAAUCUUAUCUUACCUAGAUAUAAGCUUUCGUGACCUUAUAUUAUGCAGGGCACGAAGAACGCUCUGCUAACGGCGAGUGUCGUGGUGCGAUGAAAUAGCCAAGGGCAUAUCAGAUCAUUCUGACUCCGGAAAGUUGCCAUUAAUGGCACUAGGUGGUCGGCAGGACUUGAAUAGUUAUCAAUUCAAUUCAAUUACAUUGUAUUUAAGGACCAACAGAGACAUUAGUUUUAGUAUUAACCACGUCGUUUGUCUACAUAUUUGUAUCAAUAGCUCGAAUAAGCGAGAGCAAUAUAGAGAAAUACUUAGAUUACCUAUUCCUCCUUUUUCAGAUACACCGUCGUAACGCACAGCUCAGUCCUGGGUCCAAACAGCGACUCAUAUAUUCACCGCUAUCGUUUGCUGCCGGCGCCGGCUGCUCCUAUGCUACCUGACACAGCUCAGUUGUGUGACGUAAUCACACAAAUGAAGGGAGAACGACUAUUGCAUCGUCAUCGAGACUUACAAUCGACAAGGGAUUUUUUCUCAACGGAUGCUUUGGGAUUGAUAACACCAAACAAGGAUUUAACCAGAUCAGAUUUUAGGAAUAAAGGUUUUGGUGCGGGGUUAACUUUAGAUAAAGGGGCUGCUAUCGUAAAUUACAGAGCUGGGGUUACAGAUUCAGACAAAGCGGAGGUGUCUGCUAAAUCAAAUUUCGGGGCAGAGGGUGUUAGUGCGCGGUUGACAAACAAAACGGGGGUUACAGCUGCAAAUCGAGAGACAGUGGAUCAUGCAGACGAAGAGGGGGUAAACUUAAAUAUCGGGGGAAAAAACAUUGGUGAAGCUCUAGGGUCCGUGGCAGGGGAAUUAAUUAAGGGAGCCGCUUCUGCAGCGAAGGAUUUCUUCAAUCCGAUAGGUGAAUUUUUAGGUAUCAAUCGGCCUGCGAAAUAUGACUCCAUGUUUGAUAAAUUCAAAAAGAAGUACAAGCGAAAAUACCGAGAUGACGACGAAGAGGCUGUACGUAAGGCCCAAUUUAUUAACACAAAUCGCUACACUGAAGCCGGCAACCUAAUCGCCAACACCUUCAAAAUGGGUAUCAACUACUUCGCAGACAGAGUAAAAGAAGAGUUGAAAAUGCUGACGAGCGGCGUACCCGAAAAAUUACCCCCAGGUAUCAAUGUGCAAGCUUCAGAACAUUUUCGGAAUUCCCAAAUUUUCCGUUUCCAGGUUUCCACUGAGAAAGUUUCCGUUAAGAUUAGGGAUUUUUACUUAAUGUUUUUUGACGACUGUUUCAUUUAACAUUUCACGUGUUGUAGAAAUUGUAACUCACUCUAAAAAGGUUUGGCAAUAAACACGCAGAAAAGAAAAUGGAGUAAUUUUCAUGGGAACUUUGGAAUUCUUGAAAAUUUGCAUCUUGCUACCCACAGGUAUUUCUCCAGGCAGUGCUGGGUACGAAUUCACGGCGGCGAUUGUGAAAAAAAUGCUGGAUGAAAAUAAAGACGCGGUGCCUGCUAAGUUCAGUUGGAAAGAGCUUGGAUUUCAGACCCCAGUACAUUGUAAGUUAAAUAUUAUUAAGCAGAUACGAAUGCGAGCAAUUAUUAAAUUUUUAGUAGGUAAUAUAAAAAGAUUGUAGGUUAUCGACCGCGCGAUCGCGAAGCAGCUUCGAACCGAAGCUUGAGAAAAAAUGCUUUUGUAUGUGCGGAUGUUCUCCUCUACAUGGUAUCUCGUGAAUUUUGUGACAAUGACAAGGCCGAUAAUUAUACGUUUUUAUUUGAAUUAUUCGAAAUGCUCAUUAUUAAUGGAGGCGAUCAGUUGAGAAGGAGGCUGAGACUCAACUGAACUCGGCUGGAAAGAGCUGGAAGUAGCCGCUCAGGAUCACGAAAAAUGGAAAAUUCUUCUGCGAGCCCUAUGUCCCUAAUGAGGGAUAACAGGAUUACAUCUCAUCAUCAUUCGAAAUGCUGGAGCCAUGGAGGCGAGGUCUAC